UACGUAGGUCCCGGGCGUUGUCCGGAUUUAUUGGGCGUAAAGCGAGCGCAGGUGGUUUAUUAAGUCUGGUGUAAAAGGCAGUGGCUCAACCAUUGUAUGCAUUGGAAACUGGUAGACUUGAGUGCAGGAGAGGAGAGUGGAAUUCCGUGUGUAGCGGUGAAAUGCGUAGAUAUAUGGAGGAACACCGGUGGCGAAAGCGGCUCUCUGGCCUGUAACUGACACUGAGGCUCGAAAGCGUGGGGAGCAAACAGG
rnacentral:rRNA from 1 species